CACAGAUGGACUCACCAGCUGCACGUUGUUGGCUUGAUAGUAGCUCAUGAUCUUUAGCAGUGGAAGAAGAGAAAGGGAUAGUGAAUGUUCGGUGCUGGCAUUCAGUAUGAGUACCAGAGCUUUUUUUUUUAGUGUUAGAUGUUAAUUCCCUAGUAAUGCUGCUUAGAGCAGUUAUUCAAGCAACAACAAAGCAGGAAGUGGCUGAAAAGUGGACUGCAAGUCCCCCGGAAGUGGGGAGCACAGUGUGUGGCAUGGCUGGAGGGCUGUGUUGCUGAAGAGGACGCCGCGUUCCUUGGAGAGAUGUGGGUUCAAGCAUGAGAGUCACAGCAGCAAUACACCAUCCGAAGGGGGUGCACUCAACCACAGAGCUAAUUCUCAAGACAGGCUGAGGAAGCGCCAGAGUGGUGCUGUUACGGCCCCAAAAGGCCCGAGGACUCUGCAAGAACGAGACCGACUCCACACUGAGAGUAAUUGGUUUUAAUGAAGACUUUUAUGAGCCAGGAACUCCAGUUGCUCCAUUGUAGAUGUUGGUUUGGUUUUGUGGACAAAUAUCAACUGAAAUAAUGUCAAGAGAGGAAAAAGAGGCUACUUGGCUUACCUGCUUGCCAACUUGUGAAGAAACUACAGUGGGAGGCAGCUGAAAAGAGGGAAGGAAGAAUCAAUGAAGGCAAUGUGGGUCUUAUUGAGUA